UCGUUGACAAUCGGAGUUAAAAUUAAUUUUUGUUAGAUAAAAAAAAAUUUCCGCAUUUAACGUUUUUUUUUGGGAAAAGAAUUCCUCAAAUCGUGUUUUGCCGUUUUGUGUGCCCGUGCAUUCCACCAACUUGAUCGGCUGCCUCUUAACAGCAUUUUUUUAACUUUUCGUGGCCGUGUGACUCACAUCGCCACUGCGUGUCUUCCGCUUCUCUUUCUGUAGGACCACUGCAUCGUAUGUUUCUUCUGCUGCUCCACACGUUUACGACUGCUUGGUGUUCCCUUACAGGCUAACCUAAUAUUCGCGGCUUGCGUUUUGGUACGCACGCCGUCGAAUUUGUUUUUUUGCGUCACCCGAAAUUGGCUUGCGUGCGUUUGCAUUUGAUUUCAUUGAGCAAACGUCAAAUCAAAAUGUCACGCAGAACAAAAAUUGGAAAUUGAGUUAGCUUCAUCCCUGCAAAAAUCGCGACUACUCCAUGCAUGCAUGUAAAGAGUACACCCGGAGGACCAAGGAGUACUCCAAAAUUAACCACAAUUCAUAUAAAAAAUAUGGUCCAAUUAACAUUGCGAUGUCCUAGGGCAGGACCAUAUACUCCAUCUCUGCAUUACAUCAGAGUAGCACAAAACUACUCCCAACAUACUCCAUUGUCGUUAUAUUUUUUCGUUUGUACACGC